rnacentral:rRNA from 1 species
UACGGGGGGGGCAAGCGUUGUUCGGAAUUACUGGGCGUAAAGGGCCAGUAGGCGGCCAACUAAGUCGGAUGUGAAAUCCCCAGGCUCAACUUGGGAACUGCAUCCGAUACUGGAUGGCUUGAAUUCGGGAGAGGGAUGCAGAAUUCCAGGUGUAGCGGUGAAAUGCGUAGAUAUCGGGAGGAACACCAAUGGCGAAAGCAGGUACCUGGACUAUUACUGACACUCAGCUGCGAAAGCUAGGGGAGCAAACAGG